rnacentral:rRNA from 1 species
CCUACGGGAGGCAGCAGUGGGGAAUAUUGCACAAUGGGGGAAACCCUGAUGCAGCGACGCCGCGUGAGUGAAGAAGUAUUUCGGUACGUCAAGCUCUAUCAGCAGGGAAGAAAAUGACGGUACCUGACUAAGAAGCCCCGGCUAACUACGUGCCAGCAGCCGCGGUAAUACGUAGGGGGCACGCGUUAUCCGGAUUUACUGUGUGUAAAGGGAGCGUAGACGGCAGCGCAAGUCUGAAGUGAAAUCACAUGGCUUAACCAUGGAACUGCUUUGGAAACUGAGCAGCUAGAGUGCUGGAGAGGUAAGCGGAAGUCCUAGUGUAGCGGUGAAAUGCGUAGAUAUUAGGAGGAACACCAGUGGCGAAGGCGGCUUACUGGACAGUAACUGACGUUGAGGCUCGAAAGCGUGGGGAGCAAACAGGAUUAGAUACCCGAGUAGUC